rnacentral:rRNA from 1 species
CAGUCGCCACGGUAAUACAGAGGGUGCGAGCGUUAAUCGGAUUUACUGGGCGUAAAGCGUGCGUAGGCGGCUUUUUAAGUCGGAUGUGAAAUCCCUGAGCUUAACUUAGGAAUUGCAUUCGAUACUGGGAAGCUAGAGUAUGGGAGAGGAUGGUAGAAUUCCAGGUGUAGCGGUGAAAUGCGUAGAGAUCUGGAGGAAUACCGAUGGCGAAGGCAGCCAUCUGGCCUAAUACUGACGCUGAGGUACGAAAGCAUGGGGAGCAAACAGGAUUAGAUACCAGAGUAGUCCCUGUCCUUAUACA